rnacentral:lncRNA from 1 species
UAUGAGUACGAUCUCUCUCGUACUAAUAAAUCGUUUUCGAUAAUAGAGCUUCCGAAUCGACGAUCCAUACCGUUAAACGUUAUUUAGAGUAUUUAAAACUUCUCGAAAUCAAAUUUUAUAAUUUUUGGACAUCAUUUACCUUACGAUCAAAAGGUGAGAAAAUUAAUAAUUUUUAUCGGCCGAUAUGAGAUACUUGCUAGUUUAAAAGUAUAAAAGAAUCAAAAUCGAUUGAAUUUUUGAUAAAAAAUUCUACUCACGUAAAGAUCAAACACUAUUUUUUUUUCUUUUUUUCUUUUUUUUUUUGCUGUUAGACUAAACAAAAUAGGAUUCCUUCAAGAACUUCUUCGGGAAAAAAAAAAGGAGAAAAGAGUUGGGGAAAAAAAAAAAAUCCGACGACUCUAUUGUGUGAAAUUUGUGCUUAAGAAAAUAAGAAAAACACUGAAAUACCAAACAAGAUUAAAAUUUAGGGAUAAUUGCCUAUAUACCCCUCAAAACUUCGAAAAUAUCUUCUUUUUUAUUUCUUUUCAAUAUACCUCUCAUAUGUUCCUCCGUUAUUUUAAAAUAACUUUACAAUUAUCAACCGUUAAGUUAAUUUAGGUUAAACGUGAGUUAAAUAUCUACCACAGUUAAAAAAAAUAAAAUAAUACUUUUGCCCUUAACUUAAGGGCAAAUAAGAAAUGUUGGUGAUUGUAGAAGGAUAUAUUUGAAAAGAUCAAAAAGCAAAAUACUUUUUGUGCCCGUAACUUAAAGGGCAAAUAAGAAAAGCCGGUGCUAAUAAAAGGCUAUAUUUGAAAGGACAAAAUAGUAAUUUUCAUAAAGAUAACAGAGUUCACUAACAGAUUUUAACUCUGAGGGUAUAUUUGAAAUAUGUUGGAACGUAAAAAAGGUAUUUUUAAUAUUAGCCCUCUAAGAGGGAUAAAUCAGAAAGUUGGAAACUUUUCAGAACUACCCAGACCCGACCAUUCUUUUUUAGGGUACGGAUAAAGUAUAUCAACUA